rnacentral:tRNA from 1 species
GCUGUUAUGAUGAAAUUGGUAGACAUGUUGCUUUUAGACAGCAAUAUUAAAAAAUCUCGGUUCGAGUCCGAGUAACAGCA